CCUACGGGUGGCUGCAGUGGGGAAUAUUGGACAAUGGGGGCAACCCUGAUCCAGCCAUGCCGCGUGUGUGAAGAAGGCCCUUGGGUUGUAAAGCACUUUCAGUGGGGAGAAAGGUUUGACCUCUAAUACAGGUCGAAAUUGAUGUUACCCACAGAAGAAGCACCGGCUAACUCCGUGCCAGCAGCCGCGGUAAUACGGAGGGUGCAAGCGUUAAUCGGAAUUACUGGGCGUAAAGCGCACGUAGGUGGUUUGCUAAGCCAGCUGUGAAAUCCCCG
rnacentral:rRNA from 1 species